rnacentral:rRNA from 1 species
UCAGAACGAACGCUGGCGGCACGCCUAACGCAUGCAAGUCGAGCGCGCCCGUUCGGGUGAGCGCGGACGGGUUAGUAACGCGUGGGAACGUACCUUCUCUACGGAAUAGCCAUUAGGAAACGAUGAGUAAUACCGUAUACGCCCGUUUGGGGAAAGAUUUAUCGGAGAAGGAUCGGCCCGCGUUAGAUUAGAUAGUUGGUGGGGUAAUGGCCUACCAAGUCUACGAUCUAUAGCUGGUUUGAGAGGAUGAUCAGCAACACUGGGACCGAGACACGGCCCAGACUCC